GUGGUGCCCGUUCUGUCCGCCGUAACGGCGCUGCGGUGCCUGCUGGCCGCUGCCGCCGCGCUCGUGCUGCCGCCUGGCGGCCGAAACGCCGUACUGCGGCCCGGCCCUCGCCGUCCCCGGGAGCAGCGCGGCGGCGCGCUCAAGCGCUUGUCAAGCAUCUUGUAUCACUGUCUCCCUUUCCCUGUUUUUCAGUCCCCCCUCUCUGCCCUGCAGCCGAUCGCUGUUGCAGUGGGUUUGUGCGGCAAGCGGGGGCGGGGGAGCGGGCAGGGGCUGCAGGGGUGGGUUCCGUGAGGAGACACCGGGACUCGCCCCGUGUUGGGCACAGCCAGUUCCAGCUCCAAGAUGGAUCUGCUACGGGUCAAAGCUGAGCCAACCGGCAACGCUGGUAGCCCCUCUGUGAUACUUAAUAACGGCUAAAAAAAUGCCGUGCAGAAGCUGGGAUAGAGAAAAUGGGAGUGUGACACAGCCCUGCAGACCCCCAGGUCAGUGAAGAAGGAGAGGGGGGAGGUGAUGCAGGAGCCGGAGCAGAGAUUCCCCUGCAGCCCGUGGGGAAGACCGUGGUGAGGCAGGCUGUCCCCCUGCAACCCACAGAGGACCCCACGCCAGAGCAGGCGGAUGCACCCGAAGGAGGCUGUGACGCUGUGUGUGACGCUGUGGAGAGGAGCCCACACCGGAGCAGGUUUUUCUGGCAGGACCUGCGGCCCCAUGGGAGUGACCCCACACUGGAACAGAAGAAGAGCGUGAAGGAGGAAGGAGCAGCAGAGACAACUUGUGAUGAGCUGACUGCAACCCCCGCUCCCUCUCCCCCUGUGCUGCUCGGCGGGAGGAGGCAGAGAAGUCAGGAGUGAAGAUGACCCCAGGAAAA